AAGCCAAUGAUGAUUUCUUUUAUUUAGUUGGAAUUACCGGCUGAAUUUCACUUUGAUGUCAACUUUAGACUGGCUGUCUGAGGCUUCCA